GGAAUUAGAAACAUUUAACUCUCCCACAGGCUGAAAACCAACCCUCUUUACCUGUAUCCCUCAUACAAACUCACCUUCUUCACGCGCCUCAUUCAGCCUCGUCGUCUUCCUCGUCAUCAUCAUCAUCAUCAUCAUCAUCAUCAUCAUCAUCCUUGUCGUCCUCAUCAGUUGCCGCCUGGGGCAACACUCCUCCACCAUCCAGGAACUUGGACAUGGUCUCCAGAUCCCUGUUUCCAGUGUAGUCGACCACCUAAAGGACAACAAAGGAGGAAGAGGCAGAGAGAAAAAGGAUAAGUGGGAUAAUAAAAUAGUAAUAAUAUUAAAAAGCUCCUUACAAAAAUCAUUGUACGUCUGUAAGGGGAACGUGUGUGUGUGUGAGUGUGUGUGUGUGUACCUCUUUGUCACCAGCUGGGUAGUAUUUGAGUGUUGGGAAUCCUUCAACAGUGACAGACUCCACCUCGUUGGCUGUGGCGUCCAUCUUGGCUAUGAUGAUGUCUUCGUGGUCGGCGUACUUUUCACCCAGCUGAUCCCAGAUGGGAGUCAGUUCCUUACAGUGUCCACACCAUGGAGCAU